AAUAUGCUUAGGAAUCCAACUUAAGUAAAUUCUAUAAGAUACUAGAAAAAAUGCAAUCUUAAAUAGACCUUGAUUUAUUACAAAAAUCUUCAAAAUUUUGAUCUUGUCCCAUUAAACUACUUAAACAUACUAAUCUUUGUCUCUAUUAUAUUUAUAGAACAAAACUUCUUAGAUUUAGUUAAGGUUUUUUUUUUUACUUACUUCUUUCAAUUUCACAACUUUUUGAUAUAGAUUCUAAACUUCUUUCAUAGGUGUUGGAUUAGUGCUUAUAUAGUUGAUGCUCAUGAUGCAUAAAAUUUCUAUUCUAAGAAUGUUG
rnacentral:lncRNA from 1 species